GAAGAUUGCUGGAGCCCGGGAGUUCAAGGCUGCAGUGAGCUAUGAUCAGGCCACUGCACUCCAGUUUGAGGGACAGAGAGAGAUCCCAUCUCCCUAAAGAACAAAAAAGUGUGCUCUGGUGCCACACUGCCUGGUUAGAUCCUUUGUCCACCACUUAGAUGCAUGUUAUAUAAAUGCUGUCUUCAAUUUCCUCAUCUGUAACUUGGGGAUGAUAAUGCUGUCCCAUGAAGUGGUUGUGGGGACUAAAUGUACGUGGGCACAUUGGUAAGUAUUCAACAAGCUUGAUUUUUCCUGGAGAGGGAGAAAGAGCAUACAGUGAAGUGGCAUGGUCAGGUGCAUUGGGGCAAGGAUUAUUUCCUCUGGCUUCUGCCUCCUGGGAGGUACUAAGGAUGGAUCUGAAAUGUGUCUGCAGACCCCAGAGUUGGGGACUGCAGAGGGAAAUUGAGAUCAGGGACCCCAGUCUGGCAGAAAUGGGUGCAGCAUGGGGCAUUGGGUUCCUUCCAUCAGAGGCAUGGGGUGUGUUGCAGACAGUCAUGAGAUGUGGCUGAAUCUUGCAAGGGAGCCACUGUCCUAGGGUUGCUGCUUGAGACAAAGACCACUGUCAGUGGAACCUGGUGACCUUCACCCUUCUGUGUCAGGCUGCAGACAGCAAGAGAUGGCAGCAGAUUACACCCAACAGGAAAAGGGCCAUUGCUAUCCCACAGGUUGCCAUAGGAGGGGAUGAUAUCUCUUCCCUCUCCUCCUCCAGCAGUGUCAGCUGGGGAAGAGGUGGGUUGGUGUGCACAAAAGAGUAGACCGCAGACCAUGCUGCUUCUCCUCCAGUCUGCUGGGGCCCCAAGAGAGUCUGCAGCCCUUGGCCAGGGACCGGCUGACACAGGAGAACAAAAGAUCUCAGGCUGGGAUAACAUGGUGGUGCAGUUCAUCCUCUGGAGCUCCCUGUGAGAUCAGACUGGAGCCAGUCUCCAGCUGAGACCACAUCUCACUUAGCUCCUUCCCUGCCAUAUCCUGUUUUCCUUACUCCUAUCUCCUGAGAGUCCUGAAUGAAUUACAUGCACUCAAUCCGUGCCUCAGGCUCUGUUUUUCGGGAACUUGACCUAAGACAGAUAUCUUAGUACUAAAUACUUUGCAAGGCUUCAGAAGCUCUGCUAUCCACAGGCAGGUGAGAUAUUACCUUCCCUACCACCUGGCAGUCAUAGUCUAUGAUGCAACUCAGCUUUGUGGAAGUGCUUCUCUAAAGAACUUCCCCCAAUUUAAGAUGAUCUUAAUUUGCUUACUUGUUUACUGUCCAUUCAGCUGCUCUAAAAUGUGAGCUCCAAAUCAGGGACCAUGUCUGGUUGGUUACCCAUUUCCUGGGACCUAGAACGGGCCUAGCUCAGAGCAGGUGCUCACUAUUGAUGGAAUGCAUGUUGAAAGAAUGCAUGAAUCUCAUCUCCUUUUGUGGGUGAAAAUCUCAUCCUAUUCUCACUCCUGAUUAACUUUCUUUCUUUUUUUUUUUUCAAAACGGAGCCCUGAUCUGUCACCCAGGCUGGAGUGCAAUGGUGCCAUCUCAGCUCGCUGCAACCUCUGCCUUCUGGAUUAAAGCAAUUCUCCUGCCUCAGCCUCCCGGGUAGCUGGGAUUACAGGUGCACACCACCACGCCCGGCUAAUUUUUUGUAUUUUUAAUAGAGACAGGGUUUUGCCAUGUUGGCCAGGCUGGUCUCAAACCCCUGACCCUGUGAUCUGCCCGAUUUGGCCUCCCAAAGUCCUGGGAUUACAAACAUGAGCCACCGUACCCAGCCACUCUUGAUUAACUUAAUGGAAAUAUUUAGAGAUUCUUUCUUUUCUGGGUUCUAGAGUCUUCUCUGUAACCUCUGCAGGUAAUACAUUUUCCUUCCUGAUAAAGCAUUUCUAUGGUUGCUUUCACUUGCAAAUCCUCUAAUACUUAUUUAUUCCAUUUCUGAUUGGCAUUAGACAUAAUUCUCAAUUUUUAGUGACAGCACUUUUGUUAACUUACAUAUAAAUCGACUUUGCCUUGAAAUGUGACAUUGACUAGAAGGACGACACUUCUAACAUGUUGUAGAACAUAGUUUGACUGGCUAAUUUAUUAUUUAGAAGAAGCUAAUAUUGCCAUUAUGAGGGACUUAGGUGGCUCUGAAGAACAAGUUGUAUUUCUGAUGUUUGCAAUGUUAAAUCACAGAUAUUGCCAAUGUGAAAUAGUUUCCGUAUGCUGUGUUCUCAAUACACACCUUUUCCAAGGAUAUCCCAAGCUGUAGUCUUAGGAAACUGUGAUUUUUCUUAUUUGGUCUCAUAGGAAUUUGGGGAGCUAUGCGGGAUCUCCAUAAAAUGAGCUCCAGAAAGACACAUGUGUGCGCGCACACACACACACACACACACACACACUCACACAUGUACCGCACCACAAUUGAAUCUGUUUAUUUGGGACCCAUGAUUAUUUUCAACAAACACUUCUGAGAAAUAAUCUGAACACUUAAUUGGAUGCAAAAGAGUGAGUAUUUACUAUUCUACCCUUUAAUUAGCAUAAUCAAUGUUUCCAGCAGCAAAAGCAAUUGGAAAAUCGCUAGUUUUAUUAGGUUCAUUAUUCUCCCUUAGCGUAGUGUGGCAUCAGCAUGGCUAUUAUUCUUAAAUUGCCUCCUUAAAACAAGGGCUGGUGCUUCUUACAGGCCAUUCCUAACUCUUGGGUUUUGUAGAGAGUCCAAAACUCUUUAGAACCUAUAAUUCAAGGAAAGGCUCCACUUUGGUUUUGCAUUUUGUCUGGUCUCUUUGGCUGACAGAAUUUAUGUCAAAAGGUGCACAUGUUUGUGGGAGGCUCAUGGACAGCCCAUCACGUUUGUGCUUUGGUAGGAAGUACGUGCCAUUAAGGGGAAGGAGUUAGUUACUGAUUCUAGGGAACAAUUGGGUAGAAAGAGAUGGACUCCCUGUGUUUGAAAUUCAGAACUCAAGCUUGGCUCUAAGUGUUUCCUUGCUUUGCUGUGCUCCAGGGGAGUCCUUGAGCAGAAGGAAGCAAGUUGCCUGAGAUUCUUCAAAGCCCGCAGCCCUUUUGGAGGUUAGAUGGUUAUUCUCAGAGCCUUUAUGAUGCAUAAUAAAGACCUAGCUUGGACCAAUAUUAGGAUGAGUUAUCUUGCUAUUAACAUUCUUUUAGGUAGAAGUUGCUGGUCCCAUCUUGCUCACAAUCCUCCAAAGUUUGAAAGUUAUUUUCCAGGAGACUUGGCUUGCACUGAGAGCUGCCCUCCCACCCUCUCUCCAAAUUUCCUCUUGGGGGUAGCCUAACAAGGUGCUGUCACAGACCCUUGUCGGCCACGAUGACCCCACCCAGACCAUCCCUCUGCUGUUUCACUCUUUGAUAGUCUCUGGAGCUCUCUGGGGAGGGGUGAGACCUGCCGUCUAGUUUGUAUGGUUUGCCCAGGUCUUACAGUCAUGGCUGGCUGCCUCUCUCUGAGAACUAGAACUCCUGAACUUGGUGAAAGACCUCAGCCAUCGAUCAUGUUGAAUUAUCGGGGACACUCAUUUGAAAUCCGAGCCUGUUCCAGAUAGACUCUCUCUCUUUCUGCCCUGACCGUGAGAGAAGCCCUGCUGGACGGUGGAGACACUCGUGGGCUGUGAGCAAGGGAUGCAAAGGCUGCCGGGAAUCCCAUCUUUCCAGCAUCAUCUGCCAAGGCACAUUAGUUCCUGGGUAUCUGGAUGGGUUCUAGCAGCAUUACUGUCAUUGAAGGAAAAAUUUUAGCCAUAUUAAAGGUUAAUGCAGCAAUCUCCACAUAGGCUGCCUGGAAGGGAAGCAGGACAAGGUUAGGUUUUCCUUGUGAUGGACAGGAGGCAGGCGGCCCUCCCACAGCCCUGCCUGGCAAUACAGAUGUGUCCCCAAAAGGCACUGGGGGCCAGCUGGAGUGCUAUGCCGAGGCGGACUGACCCGGGCCGUGGGUUCACUCUGCUGGCAGCGGUUUCCCGCCAGCUCCUUGCAGAGUUGGCAGAUGGCCCAGCCCCACAGCAGGAGCCGGGAAUGGCAGAACGAGACACAACAAUUUGAUAUCCACUUGCCAGAUGAGCCGGGUGUCAUCAGUCGCCUGGCUCUAUGCCCAACCUCUUUUUGCAUAAACACUUAUGGAUUCAGCCAAGAGGAAAAGCACUCUGAUUAUGAAUUGAGCAGAAGGAAACAAAGUUCUGCAGAUAAACACCAAUGAAACAAAAAACCACGAAUAAGAAAAAUGACAGAAAAGGAGAACCUUCCCAGAAUCCUCCUGCCAGUGAACGGUCACCAGAGCAAGAGCAUGGAGUCCCUGGGUUUUGAACUGUGAGAUAAGGAAGAUGAUGAAAACCUCCCUAGCAGCCAGUUCUACAGGGCCUGGAGCUGAUACGAAAAACCUCCCUUCUUUCCCAAAUGGUCCCCAGCUUCCCCGUUCACUGAAGGCCCUGCAGUCGGGAACAGUCAGGACUUUGCACCCAGUUGUUGUGGGUGUUUGGCCAACCCUUCCUCUUGUGUGAUUCAUGGACCUGCAGCAUUGCGUCACCUGUGAGCUUUUGGAAUUGAAGACUCUCAGGGCUCACCCGGGAGGACCUGCUGGGCCAGAAUCUGCAUUUUAACAAGAUGCCUGGGUGAUCUGCAUACACGUUCAGAUCUGAGAAGUGCUGGAAUGACGGACGCUGGGGCUUUGAUGGGCACCGGGUGAAAUGGGCAGAGUGGCGCUUACCCGGGAUGGCGGUGAAGCGGGACCGGGAGGUCAUCGUGACAAAGGGUGGCAUGAGGUACCUGGCCUUGACGCCCUCCCCGGCUAGACGGUCCAGAUUGGGGGUGUCCACAUCCUGAUCCUAGUCCCAGCGGAAGCCCUGGAAGGAGAUCAGCAGCAGCU
rnacentral:lncRNA from 10 species